GGUGUGCACUGUUUGCCCGGGCCAUUUUGUUGGUUCGUUCAUGGUUCUCUUAACCGAGUGCCAUGAGUGGCCAGGACUUUUACUUUGAAAAAAUUGGAGUGCUCAAAGCAGGCGCUACAUCCUGAACAUUAGUGCAUGGAAUAAUGGAAUAGGAUCUCGGUUCUAUUUCGUUGGCUUUCGGAGUCGAGGUAAUGAUUGAUAGGGACAGACGGGGGCAUCGUACUGCGACGUCAGAGGUGAAAAUCUUGGAUCGUCGCAAGACGAACUACUGCGAAAGCAUUUGCCAAGAAUGUUUUCAUUAAUCAAGAACGAAAGUUAGAGGUUCGAAGGCGAUCAGAUACCGCCCUAGUUCUAACCAUAAACGAUGUCAACCGGCGAUCCGCUAUCGUUAACUGAAUGACUAAUCGGGCACCCUCCGGGAAACCAGAGUGUGUGGAUUCCUGGGGAAGUAUGGUUGCAAAGCUGAAACUUAAAGGAAUUGACGGAAGGGCACCACCAGGAGUGGAGCCUGCGGCUUAAUUUGACUCAACACGGGAAAUCUCACCAGGCCCGGACACCGGAAGGAUUGACAGAUUGAGAGCUCUUUCUUGAUUCGGUGGGUGGUGGUGCAUGGCCGUUCUUAGUUGGUGGAGCGAUUUGUCUGGUUAAUUCCGAUAACGAACGAGACUCUGGCCUACUAAAUAGACGUUGGAUCCCUUUGUGGGUCCAUCGCAGCUUCUUAGAGGGACGGGCGG
rnacentral:rRNA from 1 species